rnacentral:rRNA from 1 species
GACGAACGCUGGCGGCGUGCUUAACACAUGCAAGUCGAGCGGUAAGGCCCUUUCGGGGGUACACGAGCGGCGAACGGGUGAGUAACACGUGGGUGACCUGCCCUCAGCUCUGGGAUAAGCCCGGGAAACUGGGUCUAAUACUGGAUAUGACUCCAUGACGCAUGUUGUGGGGUGGAAAGCCUUGUGCGGCUGGGGAUGGGCCCGCGGCCUAUCAGCUUGUUGGUGGGGUGAUGGCCUACCAAGGCGACGACGGGUAGCCGGCCUGAGAGGGCGACCGGCCACACUGGGACUGAGACACGGCCCAGACUCCUACGGGAGGCAGCAGUGGGGAAUCUUGCGCAAUGGGCGAAAGCCUGACGCAGCGACGCCGCGUGAGGGAUGACGGCC